GGCAGUGGUGGCUUAGCGGUUAAGGCUCUUAGUUACUGAUCAGUAGGUCGGGGGUCAAGUCCCAGCACUGCCA